GCGACAGACUCCGCGGAGGAGGCCUGCUCCGGGCCUCGAGCCGCCACGACGCCCAGAAACUCCCGCCAACCUGUGGAGACAUUUUUGUUUUGACGUCUUAUUUCUGAAACUGUUAAUUAAAUUCUUAAUCAGAGAGGAUGCUGAAGUCAACAGCGCGCAAGACAACUAACUACAAAGAAUGCUGAAUGUUGCAUAAAGCAAAUUCAAGAAAUAUAAAAGGAAGCCGUUUAUGACUGCAUGCUCAGUGGUGUCCUCUCCUUAUUGUUUCCACAAGAAAAGAGAAUGAAAAAGGACAACAUCAUAAAGUAAAUCUGUGAUCAACUGUAUGAAAAGAGCCCAUUGAGACGAGGACUUCCGCCUUAUAAGAAUAAUGCAUAAUAGUUUUUCUAAUGUCAGAGUUCGGCCUCUCUAUAUGAUUAGACAAAACAGAGAGGGGCAAAGACACAGGCAGAGGGAGAAAGAAGCAGGCUCCCUGCAGGGAGCCCGAGGUGGGACUCGAUCCCAGGACCCCAGAGUCACGACCUGAGCUGAAGGCCGACGCUCAACCACUGAACCACUCAGAUGUCCCACACAAGAGCAAUCUUAAUUCUGAGAUACUAGUUCAAUUAUAAUACAUUCACACAAAAGAAGAUUUGGCAGCUAAUUAAUUUUUUAGACAUGGAUAAAUCUGAUGUGCACAAUAAAGAAAACAUAGGGUAAGAAGUAAAACCAGAUAUUAUUACUCUCAUUUCAUAAAAAGAAAAAAGAACAAGAAGAAAGGAAAAGUGAAAAAGGGAGUCAGAGAAGGAAGGGAGCAUGGGAAGAUUUUUCAGAAGAAAAAAUGAGAAAUUACCAAUUUUGGAUAUGGGAGAUCAUUAUAAGAGAUUCACUGUAAAGUUAGAACAUUUUGGAAAAAUUCCUUCAGGAAACUGACAAUGAUUUUCUUACAACUAGUUUUUUUUCUUUUUUAAAUAUCAGGGAUUUAAAUAAAUAAAUAAAUAAAUAAAUAAAUAAAUAAAUAAAUAAAUAUCAGGGAUAGAAAUACAACUUCUUACUUAAGUAUCUGCAGUAUACCCAAGUAUUCUUAGGCAUUACUGGGAAAGUAGGUUUUAAAAGGUUUAUAAUCAUUAUUUUAAUUUCAACUUCAGAUUUACUAACAUGAGAAUGCCAUUAAAAUUGAGACUUUAAAGUAGUGAGUAGCAGUGGUUGUGAAGUGCCUAGUUUAAGUUAUAGUCUAUUUAUAAACUAGAAAAAGGAUAAAGAAACUUCUCAAACCCAAGCCACUAAAGGUAAGUUUUUAAGGCUUUGAAGAAAUAGUGAAGAGAAACAAAUGUCUAAACAUUUCAGUCACAUUUUUCCGUACUUUAACAUGAAUUCAUUCAAGAUCUGUUAAAUUUGCAAAGAGUACGGUUUGGCAAAAAAACAUAAGCAAGGGGCUUUCUUGCCUUCCAGUUUCCUUGGACGUGAGCAGAAGCUACAGCAGAUUUUGCUGAUCUUGCUGCUGAUGGCACAGGAUAUUUUUUCUUCCUGUAUACGUUUUUUUUUUUUUCUCCCGACCUUUAUAUCAUAAAACAGCUUGAAUUAAACCAACAUGAGCAUCCAAAUGAAAUUUAAAAUCUCAAAACAAGUUAUUUGAUAAAAGUAUUUAGAAUCUUUUUUUGCCGGACACAAAAUCAUGCCUCACAAUUUAAGGACAAACUCAACAGAUCAUACAGUAGGUGGCAGCCUCUAAGACGUCCCUUAAUGAUCCACACCUCCUGGCAUCCACAGCUGUGGGGGAUACUCUCCCCUUGAGUGACUUGCUUCCAACCAAUAACCUAGGGCAACGUCGCAGGAUAAGACUUCUGAGAUUAGGUUACUUCCGGAAGGUUGUGACUUCCACCUUGACAGCUGCCUGUUUCUUUUGGGGCUUGCAUUCUUUGAUGAUGCAGCUUGCUGUGCUGGAGAACUGAGGAGAGAACCUAGCCAACAGACAGAAGCGGUGGCCAGUCCAGCAUCUGAGAGAAACCGAAUGUUCCUGAUGUCCACAGAAGAGCCAGGAAGGUGUGACUUCAGAUAAGACUGCAAACCUUGAGUCCACAUCUUAAUUUCAGCUUUCUGAGGAACAAUGAGACAAAGGACUCAGCUGGACUGGCCCAGAUUACCGACCCACAGGAACUGGGAGAUAAUGUGAGUUAUUUCAGUCUGAUGAUUUUUUGGGGUGAUUUGUUAAGCAACAAUAAAUAAUAUGCAGAAUUUACUUUCGUUAUGAUGAAUUCAAACAUACAAUAUAUAUGUAUACAUACAAUACACUUAUGGUGUUACCCAAGAUCACAAGUUUCUAGAAAUACUGAAUUCAAUCACUUCUAUAUUCUUCAUACAAAACAGAUUCUCUAUUUUGUAAAAAUAGCUUUUUUAGUUUCAUAUAUUACUGGUGAACUUGAAGAGGUAGAAAAAGGAAAUUAAAGUUGAGUUUGAAGUUAGAUUACAAUAAUUUCCCCCAGAGUAAAUAUACUGCACUGUGCAUAUCUAACCAAAUGAUGGGAUUUAUUUAACUAUAAUUUGGAUGAUGGCCAAAAUGUCCUAUAACCCAACAGAACACCAUCACACAUAGAAUGAUCGAUUCAUUCAUUCAUUGUUAACCGUAAAUAUCUAAGUAUAUUCUUUUUAUCCAAAAUUCUUAUAGAUAUGUGAACCACACUGGUAAUAUAUAUGUGAUUCUAUUUACUUUCAAUUACCACCUUUGAGGUUGAAGGUCAUUGCCAAAGUUGGACAGUUUCCCUGAGUCUACAUCCAUGACCGGGUCACUGACAUCUGGACUGUGAGAUUUGGUGCUUAAUGGCUUGGAGUUAGAUAUUCUUUUUUUUUAAUUUUUUUAAUUUUUUAAUUUUUUUUUUAGAUAUUCUUAUAUAACCAUUUUCUUCACAUUGUUCACUUAUAAUAUUUAUCAUGAAAGAUUUACAAGUUAUGAUAAAUCAUUCUUCAAUUGGAGGAAACGUGUACGUUUGUUUAUCACAAUAAGUUAUACAUAAAAAUUUUGUUUUAUCAUGCAAGGCAAAAUUUAAAUAUGCUAUUCAUUAUAUAUAAUCAAAGAAAGAUUAUACAGUUUGUGUGUUUAAAUAAAGUCUAGAUUGUGAAUUUGUAAUGAGUUGUAGAAUUAAUUUCAUAGGCAAAACACAGUUUUGUCUUUUUCUAGAUAUACUCUGCAUAGUAACCAUUUCAAGUUUCCUGACUAUUGUCACUGACUAUGGAUGUUCCUCCU